rnacentral:rRNA from 1 species
AUUGAACGCUGGCGGCAUGCCUUACACAUGCAAGUCGAACGGUAACAGGUCUUCGGAUGCUGACGAGUGGCGAACGGGUGAGUAAUACAUCGGAACGUGCCCAGACGUGGGGGAUAACGAGGCGAAAGCUUUGCUAAUACCGCAUACGAUCUAAGGAUGAAAGCAGGGGACCGCAAGGCCUUGCGCGUUUGGAGCGGCCGAUGGCAGAUUAGGUAGUUGGUGGGAUAAAAGCUUACCAAGCCGACGAUCUGUAGCUGGUCUGAGAGGACGACCAGCCACACUGGGACUGAGACACGGCCCAGACUCCUACGGGAGGCAGCAGUGGGGAAUUUUGGACAAUGGGCGAAAGCCUGUUCCAGCAAUGCCGCGUGCAGGAUGAAGGCCUUCGGGUUGUAAACUGCUUUUGUACGGAACGAAAAGGCUCUGGCUAAUACCUGGGGCACAUGACGGUACCGUAAGAAUAAGCACCGGCUAACUACGUG